rnacentral:rRNA from 1 species
CGAACGGUCGCGUAACACGUAAGCAACCUGCCGAAAAGACCGGGACAACAUCUCGAAAGGGGUGCUAAUACCGGAUGUGGCCACAUUCUCGCAUGGGAUUGUGAUUAAACCGAGCAAUCGGCUUUUCGAGGGGCUUGCGGCCUAUCAGCUAGUUGGUGGGGUAACGGCCUACCAAGGCGACGACGGGUAGCUGGUCUGAGAGGACGGCCAGCCGGACUGGGACUGAGAUACGGCCCAG